AUGGCGCCCACGCCCUACUUCCUCCUCGGCGCCGCCCCGGAAGACACGCUGGCGGUUGACACGUCGGCCCAUGCCGUUGCGCCGGACCAAUCUGAUGCGAUGGCGCGGGCGGGGCUGCGCCACCAGGCGGCGUCCGGGCCGGGAAGGCAGCAGGCGGCCUCCGGCGGCGGCGGCAGCGGGACGCCGCUCAGGAAGACCCCGAGGCGCGGCCCCGGCGUGGCGGAGCUCGAGCGCCUGCGCUGCGGCGGCGGCGGGGCGCCGCCCAGGAGGACCCCGAACCCGCAGCGCGGCCUCAGCAUGGCGGAGCUCGAGCGACUGCGCUGCGGCGGCGUCGACCCGCAGCACGACCUCAACUCCGUCGUCCUGCAGCAGCACCACGACUACCUCCCCGCCUUCGACGCCGCCACCGGAUCCCGCUACUACUCGCCGCUCCUGGCAGAUAGAGGAACGCGGGACCCUGCCGCCGCCACCACCAACGCGCCAUACUACUCCAUCCACGAUCUCGACGCCACCAUAACGGCCGCUCGCAAGGAGACGGCCGGAGAAGGGUUCGAGGCAGCGGAGGGGAGGGAGGAGGUGCGGGGGAUCGAGUUCUUCCCGACGAGGGUCACCAGCCACGGCGGUCCCGACGAGUCCGAGCUGCGCACGACGCCGCCCUCCUCCUCGUCGCCGCCCGGUGGCGUCGGUGGCUCCCUGGACCUGUCCCUGAGGCUCUAG
rnacentral:rRNA from 1 species